GACGAACGCUGGCGGCGCGCUUAACACAUGCAAGUCGAACGGAAAGGCCCUGCUUUUGUGGGGUGCUCGAGUGGCGAACGGGUGAGUAACACGUGAGUAACCUGCCCUUGACUUUGGGGUAACUUCAGGAAACUGGGGCUAAUACCCGGUAUGAUCUCCUGCUGCAUGGUGGGGGUUGGAAAGUUUCGGCUGUUGGGGAUGGACUCGCGGCUUAUCAGCUUGUUGGUGUGGUAGUGGCUUACCAAGGCUUUGACGGGUAGCCGGCCUGAGAGGGUGAACGGCGACAAUGGGACUGCGAUACGGCCCAGAAUCGUACGGGCGGCAGCAGUGGGGAACAUGGCACAACGGGCGGAAGCGUGAUGUAGCAACGCCGCGUGCGGGAUGCUGGCCUACGGGUUGUAAACCGCUUUGGACUGUGACGAAGCGUGAGUGACGGUAAUGGGUCAAGAAGCACCGGCUAACUACGUG
rnacentral:rRNA from 1 species